UUUAAAGCAGUCUGUCCUGACUCAGCUCAGCAGUCUCCAGUCUACCAACUGGUCUCUGUAACUUCAUCUUUGUCUCUGUGGUGUACAGUCUUCAGGUGAUGAUGGGGGUAUUGAAUCAUCUCUCUACUCUCCUCCUCCUCUCUCUCCUUCCUCCUGCUCUCUCUCGUGUAGUGGAGAGGUUCAGUGAUGUUCCACAGUGUAAGACGUUCUUCCUGGAGGGGACAACUCCAAAUCUCCCAGGUAUUUUGGUUGAUGGGAAAGUCCAGGACCAGAACCGCUACAAGCCGAUCUGCCAGUUGUUUAAACACAUGAAGAAAAAGGUUGUUGCCGAAACCUACAUGUUUGCAACUCUCUACGACACGACCAACAUGAUCCCUGUGUUCUCAGCCUCCACCUUCACUGGGGUCGGACCGAGAGAGAAAAGACCAGAUACAUGGAUGAUUGAACCUCAGGUAAUUCAAACAUCUUUUCAAAUCUACAUUUAAUGCCAAGUUAGAACAACAACCUUCAAUAGACAAUUACUACUGUCUGUCUAGCAAGAUACCAUGUCUGUUUCAUUCCUGAAAGGGAUAGUUUCUCAAAUAAAAAACAGAAAUACCUUAUUUACAUGAGUAUUCACACCCUGGUUUUGUUUGUAAUAUACAGGUCUAAUAUACAGGUCUAAUAUACAGGUCUAUUAUACAGGUCUAAUAUACAGGUCAGGUCUAAUAUACAGGUCUAAUAUACAGGUCUAUUAUACAGGUCUAAUAUACAGGUCUAAUAUACAGGUCUAAUAUACAGGUCUAAUAUACAGGUCAGGUCUAAUAUACAGGUCUAAUAUACAGGUCUAUUAUACAGGUCUAAUAUACAGGUCUAUUAUACAGGUCUAAUAUACAGGUCAGGUCUAAUAUACAGGUCUAAUAUACAGGUCUAAUAUACAGGUCUAAUAUACAGGUCAGGUCUAAUAUACAGGUCUAAUAUACAGGUCUAAUAUACAGGUCUAAUAUACAGGUCUAUUAUACAGGUCUAAUAUACAGGUCUAAUAUACAGGUCUAAUAUACAGGUCUAAUAUACAGGUCUAAUAUACAGGUCUAAUAUACAGGUCUAUUAUACAGGUCUAAUAUACAGGUCUAAUAUACAGGUCUAUUAUACAGGUCUAAUAUACAGGUCUAAUAUACAGGUCUAAUAUACAGGUCUAAUAUACAGGUCUAAUAUACAGGUCUAAUAUACAGGUCUAAUAUACAGGUCUAAUAUACAGGUCUAAUAUACAGGUCUAUUAUACAGGUCUAAUAUACAGGUCUAAUAUACAGGUCUAAUAUACAGGUCUAAUAUACAGGUCUAAUAUACAGGUCUAAUAUACAGGUCUAAUAUACAGGUCUAAUAUACAGGUCUAUUAUACAGGUCUAAUAUACAGGUCUAAUAUACAGGUCUAAUAUACAGGUCUAUUAUACAGGUCUAAUAUACAGGUCUAUUAUACAGGUCUAAUAUACAGGUCUAAUAUACAGGUCUAAUAUACAGGUCUAAUAUACAGGUCUAUUAUACAGGUCUAAUAUACAGGUCUAUUAUACAGGUCUAAUAUACAGGUCUAAUAUACAGGUCUAAUAUACAGGUCAGGUCUAAUAUACAGGUCUAAUAUACAGGUCAGGUCUAAUAUACAGGUCUAAUAUACAGGUCAGGUCUAAUAUACAGGUCUAAUAUACAGGUCAGGUCUAAUAUACAGGUUUGAUAUACAGGUUGAAUUUACAGGUCAGUUCAGUGAAUAAUGAUGAAUAUUGUUCCUACAGCUGGACGGAGGAGUAGAACAAGUUAUGGGUCUGGAGAAACAAGGGGUCAUUUAUACUCACCAGGCUGUCAAUCAGGAUUAUGAUGAAUACGGUAAAUACAAGAAGGUGAACAAAGGUCACAUGUUUUCAAAAGCUUUCGCUAACCAACCUGUUAAUCAGGACUCCACCUUUACCCUGACAAACGCUGUUCCUCAAGUACAGUCAUUUAAUGAAGGUAGCUGGGGAAAGAUGGAGUGUGCGGUUAGAAAGAUAAUCCAGGAUCAAUGCCUUGAUAAUAAUGGUCAACCCAAGGCCUAUGUGGUGACUGGAGCAGUUCCCAGUGUCAACAACAAACUGAACAACAGAGUGAACAUCCCAGAUCUCAUGUGGACAGCCUACUGCUGUUACAACAGCAAGAAGAAAGAGUGGAUGGCCAAAGCACACUGGGGUGAGAACAAAGAGGAAACAAAAGUAUUGAACCCCCAUACCUUGUCAGAGCUGUAUGACAUGUUGAAGCAGCACUACCCAGGUGAUGGUGAGGUACAGGUGUUCCCAGAUCAGUGUCCAAGAGGUUCUUCUCAGAAAGAGAGAGAGAAGAGCAGAGAGAGGGAGGUAGGAAGUGGGGAUAUUAGCGGGAAAGGGUUAAUGAAAUGUGAUGAGGAUUGUAAAUGUGUCUCUUUGUAGGUGACAGUCCCAGAGUUUGGUCCAGUGGUAACACAGACAACUCUAAAACACAUUUACCAUUAUAUGUUCUGAAUGUAAUUCUAUCACUGUUACCAUGGAGAUACUAUUAUAUGUUCUGAAUGUAAUUCUAUCACUGUUACCAUGGAGAUACUAUUAUAUGUUCUGAAUGUAAUUCUAUCACUGUUACCAUGGAGAUACUAUUAUAUAUUCUGAAUGUAAUUCUAUCACUGUUACCAUGGAGAUACUAUUAUAUGUUCUGAAUGUAAUUCUAUCACUGUUACCAUGGAGAUACUAUUAUAUAUUCUGAAUGUAAUUCUAUCACUGUUACCAUGGAGAUACUAUUAUAUAUUCUGAAUGUAAUUCUAUCACUGUUACCAUGGAGAUACUAUUAUAUAUUCUGAAUGUAAUUCUAUCACUGUUACCAUGGAGAUACUAUUAUGUUCUGAAUGUAAUUCUAUCACUGUAUGUCUCCAUCUUCUUCCCAUCUGAAGGAAUAAACAUCUAUAAUGAAUGAA